rnacentral:rRNA from 1 species
AUUGAACGCUGGCGGCAGGCCUAACACAUGCAAGUCGAGCGGAUGAAGGGAGCUUGCUCCUGGAUUCAGCGGCGGACGGGUGAGUAAUGCCUAGGAAUCUGCCUGGUAGUGGGGGAUAACGUCCGGAAACGGGCGCUAAUACCGCAUACGUCCUGAGGGAGAAAGUGGGGGAUCUUCGGACCUCACGCUAUCAGAUGAGCCUAGGUCGGAUUAGCUAGUUGGUGGGGUAAAGGCCUACCAAGGCGACGAUCCGUAACUGGUCUGAGAGGAUGAUCAGUCACACUGGAACUGAGACACGGUCCAGACUCCUACGGGAGGCAGCAGUGGGGAAUAUUGGACAAUGGGCGAAAGCCUGAUCCAGCCAUGCCGCGUGUGUGAAGAAGCUCUUCGGAUUGUAAAGCACUUUAAGUUGGGAGGAAGGGCAGUAAGUUAAUACCUUGCUGUUUUGACGUUACCAACAGAAUAAGCACCGGCUAACUUCGUG